rnacentral:rRNA from 1 species
UAGAGUUUGAUCCUGGCUCAGAUUGAACGCUGGCGGAAUGCUUUACACAUGCAAGUCGAACGGCAGCACGGGAGCUUGCUCCUGGUGGCGAGUGGCGAACGGGUGAGUAAUGUAUCGGAACGUACCCCGUCGUGGGGGAUAACUCUCCGAAAGGAGAGCUAAUACCGCAUACGACCCGAGGGUGAAAGCGGGGGACCUGGGGUAACCUGGGCCUCGCGCGAUGGGAGCGGCCGAUAUCGGAUUAGCUAGUUGGUGGGGUAAAGGCCUACCAAGGCGACGAUCCGUAGCGGGUCUGAGAGGACGACCCGCCACACUGGAACUGAGACACGGUCCAGACUCCUACGGGAGGCAGCAGUGGGGAAUUUUGGACAAUGGGCGCAAGCCUGAUCCAGCCAUUCCGCGUGAGUGAAGAAGGCCUUCGGGUUGUAAAGCUCUUUCAGCAGGAACGAAACGGUGGGUCUUAAUACGGCCUGCUAAUGACGGUACCUGCAGAAGAAGCACCGGCUAACUACGUGCCAGCAGCCGCGGUAAUACGUAGGGUGCGAGCGUUAAUCGGAAUUACUGGGCGUAAAGCGUGCGCAGGCGGCGACAUAAGACAGAUGUGAAAUCCCCGGGCUCAACCUGGGAACGGCGUUUGUGACUGUGUGGCUAGAGUGUAGCAGAGGGGGGUGGAAUUCCACGUGUAGCAGUGAAAUGCGUAGAGAUGUGGAGGAACACCGAUGGCGAAGGCAGCCCCCUGGGUUAACACUGACGCUCAUGCACGAAAGCGUGGGGGAGCAAACAGGAUUAGAUACCCUGGUAGUCCACGCCCUAAACGAUGCCAACUAGGUGUUGGGGGAGGAGACUUCCUUAGUACCGUAGCUAACGCGUGAAGUUGGCCGCCUGGGGAGUACGGUCGCAAGAUUAAAACUCAAAGGAAUUGACGGGGACCCGCACAAGCGGUGGAUGAUGUGGAUUAAUUCGAUGCAACGCGAAAAACCUUACCUACCCUUGACAUGUCCGGAAUCCCGAAGAGAUUUGGGAGUGCUCGAAAGAGAGCCGGAACACAGGUGCUGCAUGGCUGUCGUCAGCUCGUGUCGUGAGAUGUUGGGUUAAGUCCCGCAACGAGCGCAACCCUUAUCAUUAGUUGCCAUCAUUGAGUUGGGCACUCUAAUGAGACUGCCGGUGACAAACCGGAGGAAGGUGGGGAUGACGUCAAGUCCUCAUGGCCCUUAUGGGUAGGGCUUCACACGUCAUACAAUGGUCGGUACAGAGGGUUGCCAACCCGCGAGGGGGAGCUAAUCUCACAAAGCCGAUCGUAGUCCGGAUCGCAGUCUGCAACUCGACUGCGUGAAGUCGGAAUCGCUAGUAAUCGUGGAUCAGCAUGUCACGGUGAAUACGUUCCCGGGU